CAACGCCGACUCAAGCCCGCCAUCGCUUCCUUCCGCGCUACUGCCCUUCUAGCCAGCCGGAGGAUGGCUCUUCUCGAUGGUCUUAACCUUUCAAUUCCAAGCAGGCUGCGCUGGGGCGUGAACGGCGGGAACCCGCUCAUGAGCAAGAAGGCGCAUGAGAGAGCCCGAGAGAGACUGAGAGCGAGCAAGCGCGCAGGAGAGACUGAGAGCAGGUGAAAGGUGUAGCACUCACCUGACCGACACCCAUAGCAUUGACCAUAUGAACCGAGCGACCUGACUGCCUUGGGUGAGUCUAGACUGCCAUCCAUGGGGCUCAUCACUGUGACUCAGCGUUUGGUCAUCCAACCAUGUGGAGAUCACUACAAUUCCACAAGUGUUCCCUGCCCGCCUUCUGCCUGUGAGGUCAACUAUCCCAUCCUGAGGACACAGGGAUCUACUAGAUGUGUUUCCAACCUUUCAGGAGAGACCACGGAGCCUGGUGAGGGAGAUACACCUGCAAAGAGAACUUCAGUGCAGUAACAGCAACGGUCAUAGCCGGUGUGUUCACGAACUCAUGAGAGAUCACACUACCAGCAUCUCCCGCUUGAUUUCCCCAACAACAAACGGCUUAUCCUGGAAAUGAUCCCUUUGGUAGGUAAGUUGGAUUCCCCUUACUGUUUCCCCCAGGCAUGCAGAGCUACAAAGCAAAUUGACACUGGUAUGUUGUGUCAGAGUGGAAUCCAAGAAUGGAAUGCCCUGCAAGUGAUGUGAUUUCUAAAGCAGUCAAUAAAUCUUUGUAAGUUUCUGGGUGAAGCAACACACAAUCCUCCCUCAGUUCACAGGGAAGUGAUGUGUAUGGAAAGAAAUCCAGUUUACUUAGGACUCUGGAAAAAGUUGUUUGCCUCCCUGUAACCUUCACCCCACAAAUGCCAGGAGCCACUUCUAGUUAUUUGAACAUCCAAAGCUGCCGUUGGAAAUGUCUAGAAUGCCCCAAAGUGCGUGAUGAUAUUCUGAUUAUAAACCACAAGUUUAGGAUUUAAAAGAAGUAUCCUAGAACUUCUUAAUUACAUCAAAAGGAUAGGAACGUUGCAGUCUGUACAGAGGAAACAGCACGGUAACAUGGGGAAGGACACAAUGUUCCCCAGGAGGGGUUGUGGGAACCUUGUUCCUCUGUGUUACUUUCGGUGAUAAGAAAAUGUUUCAAGGCCAGCUGUGGUGGGUGGUGAAGCUUCAUGUCAAAGGGCAGCCACUGCCAUAGGACACUGAUGCUCAGGAUGGUUCUGUGGUGGUCAUGACUCUGGGAUCCUGGGACGGAUGUCCUCCUUGGUGAGCACAGCCCUCUCCAGGCUGGGACAAAGGAGGAAGGGGCCAGGCUAGGUUGUCAGGCUGCCAGGGACAGCUGUCUGCUGUGAGAGAAGGAGAAGGACAGCUGAAGGGAGGAGAGGGGAGUCGAACUCCUCAGGUGAGGGGCAGAUGUCUGUUAGUGAAGGGAAGACAUUGGCCCUAAGUCCUGUCAUUGCUCUAGGCUCCUGUGGAAGGAAAUGACAGUGUAAGAAAGAAACCAAGGCUGGUGGGAGGGGGACAGUAGCUUGCAUCUCCUCCCGUCCUGUGUGUUCAAUGGUCCCUGAGAGGAGCCCAUGCCAUUUUUGGGAUCUAAAAGGUCAUUUCCUGGCACCCCUUCAUUCACUGCCCAUGAAGAGAAGGGAUUCGAGAUAAACUGAGGCCUUCAAGGAGAAAGGCCAGACAGAGUUGUGAGGCCUUCUCAAAAGUCCCUCUGCCCUACCCUUAUGGUGAGUCUCACACUGAGUUCAUCAUGUCCUGUGUUCCUGUGUACUCUAAGGUCACUCUUCUCAACCUCAUGUCUCUCCUGGGAAGAGACAGCCAGCCUUGCUACCAAAGGGAUUUAAUAAGCUUUCUGAAAGUUCCUUAGGCUGAGCAGCAAAUUUCCAGAUCCUAGGACACCAUUGUGGCCACACUACAUGAGAUUCACUGGGUGUGAUCCUGGAGUCUGCACUUUUUUUUUUGAGACAGAGUUUUGCUCUGUGCCCAGGAUGGAGUGCAUUGGCAUGAUCUCGGCUCGCUGCAACCUCCGCCUCCCCGGUUCAAGCAAUUCUCUUGCCUCAGCGUCCCAAGUAGCUGGGAAUACAGGCACAUGCCACCAUGCCCAGCUAAUUUUGUAUUUUUAGAAGAGAUGGGAUUUCUCCAUGUUUGUCAGGCUGGUCUCAAACUCGCGACUACAGAAGAUCUGCCCGCCUCAGCCUCUGGAAGUGCUAGGAUUACAGGCUUGAGCCACCGUGCCCGGCCUUGGAAUCUGCACUUUUAAGAUCCUAAGUUCUAACUUUCAUGGAAACAUGUCUGAGCAAUACUAGAGCAGGGGAAUAGUCUCCUUUCCCAGUUACACAGCUUCUUUCUCCUUUGUGAAGGUAUAGCAGGGACAGGUUCGUGUGUUCUCUGAUGUACAAACCCAAGACCUUCAGGCGAGGAGACCGACGCUGACAUGCUGCCUGUUAUGGUAAUGACACACUCAGGGCACCGUCUCCAAAUGAUACCCAGACCAAUCCUCUCAAGUCUCCAUCUCUUAAAGAUUUGUGAAGAAAUCAAAUAUCUAUUGUCUGUGAAGUCCCAUGCUGUAAAAUGCUAAAUAUUUUGCAGUGGUCUUUGGAACUUACCCUUGGUUGCACAGUGGAGUUUUCAUGAUGCCUGUGGCCCUUGGCUCCACCACUCACUGCUGGGUGAUGUGGAGAAAGUUCCUUAACAUCUCUGUGCCUUCUUUCUCCAUUAGUACCACGGAAAUACUACUAGUAACGUUGUCUACUUCUUGGGGCAGUUUAGAGCACUGACUGUGUGAAGACAUGUACAGUUGUCUGGACAGUCCCUGGCAUACGGCAUGAUGGCUCACACCUGUAAUCCCAGAAUCUUGGGUGGCCAAAGCAGGAUUGCCUGAACCCAGGGGUUUGAGACCAGCCUGGGCAACAUGGUGAGACCUUGUCUCUACAAGAAUAAAAAAGUAAGCUGGGCAUGGUGGCUCAUGGUUGUAUCCCAGCUACUCAGGAGUCUGAGGUGGGAGGAUUACUUGAGCCCAGGAAGUCAGGGCUGCAGUGAGAAAUGAAUGCACCACUACACUCUAGCCUGGGCAGUGGGAGUGAGACCCUGUCUCAGAAAAGUAAAUUCAUUUUCAUCUAAUGAAAGACUGAUGGUACUAAUAUUUUCUGAGCUACAUCAUGAGAAGUUGGUAUCAGUUUAUUCAGAUCCAGAGUGAGAAGAAACGGGCAAUGGGGAAAGAGAGUGGAGUGUGGAGGGCAGGUGAAGGUGUGCGGGAGCGGGGAGAGGGGUCUGGGGCAGACGGGGCGAGGAAUAAUGGGGAAGAGCAGAAAGCAGAAGUUCAGAGAUGUGAGAAUAAAAGCUCACGCUUCUGGAUACUUGCUAUGGGCCAGAUGAUUUUAGUGCACUCUGCUCCCACGCUUUCUCUCUCUCUCUCUCUCAUUCUCUCUCUCUCUCUCUCUCUCUCUCUCUCUCUCUCUCUCUCUUCAUUUACAUACAUUUAUUCAUCUUAGGCUAUAUAUAUAUAUGACUAUAUUUUUAAAUUAUAUGUAUGUAUAUCUAAUAACAGUCAUUUAGUGCUCAUGGCAACACUGUCAGGUGUGUGUUCCUAAUGUUACUCUCCCUUAUGACAGAAAACGAACUGUGAUACAUAGCUUAAGAGACUAAAGAACUUGCCCAAAGUCACGUCGCCAGCAAGGGCAGAGUCAGAUUGGUACCCAAGUUGGAGAGGGGCAUAUAGACAUACCCAAUCUGACCCUGACACUCUAGAAUGCACUGCAGUAUGGAAUGGUAGUCCAGAUCAGAAGACAGGUGAAAGCAUCCAGCAGCAUUUGAGAUGACAUUAUCUGUGUGUGGAUUGAACAUGAGGUCUCUUGAGUGCGUUUGAUAAUACAGGGUGGUGCGUCAUUAGCAGGAAAGCACAAAGAUGGCCUCUGGUGCAUAUCAAGCUUUCUGUAUGUGUUUCCUACCAUGGAUGUUAGCAGUGACAUCCCUGUCACUGUCAUUAUGGGAAACAGCUUUGGUAUAAUAUUAAACAAAACAGCAGAUGCAGUAUUAUAAACACACUACUUAUUCUCCAAUUGUAUAUAUUUUUUUUAAGUGCAUAGAAAAAAGCCUGUAAGGGAAUGCACCACAUAUGAAGUGUUGUUGUCUACGUGGGAAACUCUCGAUCAUUUUGAAAUAACAUUCCUUUCACGGUUUUA